AGCUCUCCCGGCUCCGGUGACACCGUCACCAAGGCAACGCGGCCAUACUGGCCCCAACGGACCUGGGGGCUGCGGCGGCGCGGCCUCGUGGGCAGAGCCGGCGGCAUGGACAGCCUCUUCGUGGAGGAGGUGGCAGCCUCCCUGGUCCGGGAGUUCCUCAGCAGAAAGGGCUUAAAGAAGACAUGUGUGACCAUGGACCAGGAACGCCCACGCUCUGACCUCAGCAUAAACAGCAGAAAUGAUCUCCGCAAGGUUUUGCAUCUUGAAUUUCUCUACAAGGAGAACAAGGCCAAGGACAAUCCUCUAAAAACAAACCUUGAACUCAUUACCAGAUACUUUCUGGAUCACUUUGGAAAUACUACUAACAAUUUCACUCAAGAAGUGCCAAUCCCUGCACUCCCAGUUCCAAAGAAAAAUAACAGAUUAUCAUCAAGAUGCCCAGAGACCACACUGGUCAAUAUAUAUGACCUUGCGGACGAAGAUGCGACAUGGAAAUCGUCACUGUCAGAAACCAGCAAAGCCAGGCAUGAUAAUCUUGAUGGGGAUUUACUUGGUAAUUUUAUAUCAUCCAAAAGGCCUCCCCACAAAAGUAAGCCCAUGCAGGCUAUCCCAGGUGAAAGCCCUGCCGUGGCCCCUGCAUGGGAGAAGAUGGACAAGCUUCAGUCGUCAGAGCCUUCCUUGGACACAAAGAGAAUGGGUGAGAAGAUCAGGUCGAAGUCUGGCCUGAUCGUCCGAGGCAUGAUGGCAGGGCCCAUCGCCAGUUCCCCGCAGGAUGCCCUCCGCAGACGCUCCUUGAGGCGGUCCUCAGCCUUGAGCAGCACGAAGCAGCCCUCCGAGGAAGAGAGCCGGAAAGUGCCCGAGCUUUCUGCCCAUGCCCCAGCCUGUCCCAUAGCUCAGGAGGGCCCGGCUUCCAGCCCUGGCUCCAUUUCCAGGAGCCCCCUGGGCCCGCUCAGUGAGCUGACCUCAGAAAAGUGGAGAACCACGCCCAGCAGCCCCCCUCACUUGUCUGGCAAGGGGCUGCUGCGGAGGGGGAGCAGCAGGCGGCGAGAUCUCGAGGAAGAUAGCCCGGCUGUGGACAGUGGCCCAGAGGCCGACGGGAUGCCCUUGAAGUUCUCCUUGCCAGGUGGGAGUGCCAGGCCAACCCAGGAGAGGCUGGAAAGAACAUUCAUCAGGCAAGGGAGCCAGCCCCUGCCCCUCAGGAAAAAUCAGUUGCCAGCGUCCAACAAGGCUGAUGGCGAACUGAGUGUCCUCCAACUUGAGGAUGUGGAGGAUGAAUUGAUAAAGGAAGAAGUAAUCCUGCCUCCAGUCCCAUUGAUGCUCAAGCUGCAAAUAGUGUCAAAGCCAAUCGACCUCUCAGUGGCCAAGGACAUAAAGGCCCUUCUGUUUGGCUCCAGCCUUUGCUGUUUCAACGAGGAAUGGAAGCUUCAGAGUUUUUCCUUUAGUGACAAAGCCUCAUUAAGAUACGGCAUCGUGCAGAACAAGGGGGGUCCCUGCGGUGUUCUGGCAGCUGUCCAAGGCUGUGUCCUACAAAAACUCCUGUUUGAAGGAGAUAGUGAAGCUGACUGCGUUCGGCAGCUGCAGCCUUCCAAUGCCCGCAGGAGUCACUGCCUUGCCUUGGCCAUCGCGGACAUCGUGUGGCGGGCCGGGGGCCGGGAAAGAGCCGUGGUCACACUGGCUUCGGGAACACAGCAGUUCAGUCCAACAGGGAAAUACAAAGCAGAUGGAGUCUUAGAAACACUCACGCUGCACAGUUUGACCUGCUAUGAGGAGUUGGUGACUUUUCUCCAACAAAGCAUCCAUCAGUUCGAAGUGGGUCCCUACGGAUGCAUCCUCCUCACGGUGUCUGCCAUCCUGUCCAGGUCCACGGAGCUUGUCCGCCAGGACUUCGAUGUCCCCACCAGCCACCUGAUUGGAGCACACGGAUACUGCACCCAGGAACUCGUCAAUCUGCUCCUGACCGGGAAAGCCGUGUCCAAUGUUUUCAACGACGUCGUGGAGCUGGAUUCUGGGAACGGGAACAUCACUCUGCUCAAGGGCAUUGGUGCGCGCAGUGACGUCGGGUUCUUAUCUCUCUUCGAGCACUACAACGUGUGCCAGGUGGGCUGUUUCCUGAAGACGCCGAGGUUCCCCAUCUGGGUGGUGUGCAGCGAGAGCCACUUCAGCGUCCUCUUCAGCCUGCAGCCAGAGCUCCUGCGGGACUGGAGGGCCGAGAGGCUCUUCGACCUGUACUAUUACGAUGGCCUGGCCAACCAGCAGGAGCAGAUCCGGCUGACCGUUGACACCACCCAGACCAUCCCUGAGGACAGAGACAAUGACCUCGUCCCACCCAUCGAGCUCUGCAUCAGAACCAGGUGGAAGGGGGCAGCGGUGAACUGGAACGGCUCAGACCCCAUCUUGUGACCCUUCCUGUGGAAGCCAAGAUGCAGGUGCAUGCAUGGUUUGACACCCCGUGCCUGGGGUUUCCUGGGACACAAGACAAGCAAAGCCGCAGCACCACCAUCUCCCAGGUCUGGAAGUGAGAAGACCCACAGCACGGCCACCACCUCUGCAAGAAUGAACCAGAGGCGAGUGCCUCCCUGCUGGUGGCUCUUCUCCACCGGAGGCACAGAGUUUUCUAAAGAGACUGUGGGUUCUUUGUGGCAGUGGCACAGUAAGAAGAGCAGCUUCCAGAAGAACCACAAGGAUUCCCUGGGGGUCAGAGCUGGGCCAAGGCUUUGUGGGGGCCCCGUGGAUGAUCCUCUCUGGUCACGGAGCCCUUUUGGGAGCCUAACCUUGCAGGAGGCCAUCAAACUGCCAAGCCUAUUUGCAGCCGCCUCUAGUGCUCUGCCUCCCUUCAGGACAGCCUGAGAGAUUCUGGAAGAUUUGUCCAGCAUGCUGCCUGAGGUCCUGAACCUUAACAUCCGUCUGAGGACCUGUGCACCCAGCUCUGGACAAAGCCUGAGGUUCUCCCACAGCAUCGGUGGGGCUAGAGUCCAGAUUGUCCUGGGAACAGCCAGCUCUGACUGGAAAGUGGGCCUCACUGGGCACGUCAGGAAUAAGGCACAUCUGGAAAACCAUUUUCUGAGACCGUUGCUCUGGGAGGGCCAGACAGUGCCCGGGACUGAGUGGCUUCAGGCCCCGCCCAGGACUCAGGAGUCGGGAGGGGGGGGAGGGCAGUCCCCCUUAUUUAGCCUGGCUCAGGCCUGUGGGAUCAGGCCUGGGCCCAUGCCACUGGCCAUGGGAGGGAGGGACUCGGUUGCUCACCGAGUCAGGUCACCCUGGAGGAGGAGCAGGUCAGGGGGCGGCACCCUGCCCCAGAGCCCAAGCUCCCGGGGCUGGUGGGACUACACGGGGUGAGGGCGUAGCUCUGGCCUUCCCUGGCUUCCCUGUGCGUCCACUCUCAGCUCAAUGCUUCCUUCCCCAUCUGCCCCUCAUCCCACCCCAAUUAUACAGAGAAGUUGGGGACGGUCUUCUCAUUAUUACCCCCACGUCCCCGACCCGUCCUGGGGUCUGGAUCCCUCAGUCCUGUACUUGUAACUGGGCCAUCAAAACUCAGGAUUCCAUCUGGGAAACGGGGCCAUCAGGAGCCUUCCUUGACAGGCCGGCAGAGAACCAGACUGGGGUUCUGGGAAUUAGGGGGUCCUGAGUUCUAAUCCUAGUGCUGCCACCUUCUAGCAAAUCCCUUACCCUCGGAGCAUUCCAGGGUCGUGGCGGAGACAAGCCGUCAGCCAGGCACGGUUUCCUUUCUCCCCCCUUCCCUCCCCCUCUCCUCACCUCCCUUCCUUCCCUGCUUGGCCAGAAUUUGUGGCAGACCAGGGAGAAGAAGGUCAUGAGGUUCGUGGCCUUCCUGGAUCUGGGCUCCAGGGGCAGUCCUCUUCCUUUCACAUUGACAUUGUCAGGCCGAGGCUGCACAGGCCCCUUGGUAUUGUGGGAGAUGGUGGGUGAGUGAGGUGGGCCUUAUUCCAGAGAGGUCUGCCUUUGGAUGGUGUCUCCUGGUGAUGGCAGAGCCUUGCCCAAAGGAACAGAACAGUGGGCAGCAUGUAAGUCAGAAGCCAUGCUACUAGGGGGACAGGGUUUGGUGUCCGGGGUAUUGUCCUGAGGACCCUCACAUCAUCCUGACAUUGGUGGGUAGCUGAUUUGCUCUGGCCAAAGUGUUUUGCCUCCUCUGGGUCCCCUGGGUCCAACCCUGCUCCAGAAGCAUGUGGGCCUCUAGCAAGUAUGUGCUCCCCCCCGUGCCUGUGACAGUUGCAAGCGCCACCAGCCUGGGUGCACACACGGAGCCUACGGGAGGACAAGCAGCUAGGCUAUCUGGUUUGUGGCUGUCUCCCCAAAGAUAAGAACAGGAUGGCACAUGGCAUGCACCAAAUAAAUAUUUGGUGGACAA